GCUUGACUCCGCCCUCUCUCCCUCUGCCCGCUUUCAAUAAGAGGCAGAGACAGCAGCCAGAGGAACCGAGAGGCUGAGACUAACCCAGAAACAUCCAAUUCUCAAACUGAAGCUCGCACUCUCGCCUCCAGCAUGAAAGUCUCUGCCGCCCUUCUGUGCCUGCUGCUCAUAGCAGCCACCUUCAUUCCCCAAGGGCUCGCUCAGCCAGGUAAGGCCCCCUCUUCUUCUCCUUGAACCACAUUGUCUUCUCUCUGAGUUAUCAUGGACCAUCCAAGCAGACGUGGUACCCACAGUCUUGCUUUAACGCUACUUUUCCAAGAUAAGGUGACUCAGAAAAGGACAAGGGGUGAGCCCAACCACACAGCUGCUGCUCGGCAGAGCCUGAACUAGAAUUCCAGCUGUGAACCCCAAAUCCAGCUCCUUCCAGGAUUCCAGCUCUGGGAACACACUCAGCGCAGUUACUCCCCCAGCUGCUUCCAGCAGAGUUUGGGGAUCAGGGUAAUCAAAGAGAGGGUGGGUGUGUAGGCUGUUUCCAGACACGCUGGAGACCCAGAAUCUGGUCUGUGCUUCAUUCACCUUAGCUUCCAGAGACGGUGACUCUGCAGAGGUAAUGAGUAUCAGGGAAACUCAUGACCAGGCAUAGCCUAUUCAGAGUCUAAAAGGAGGCUCAUAGUGGGGCUCCCCAGCUGAUCUUCCCUGGUGCUGAUCAUCUGGAUUAUUGGUCCGUCUUAAUGACACUUGUAGGCAUUAUCUAGCUUUAACAGCUCCUCCUUCUCUCUGUCCAUUAUCAAUGUUAUAUACCCAUUUUACAGCAUAGGAAACUGAGUCAUUGGGUCAAAGAUCACAUUCUAGCUCUGAGGUAUAGGCAGAAGCACUGGGAUUUAAUGAGCUCUUUGUCUUCUCCUGCCUGCCUUUUGCUUUUUCCUCAUGACUCUUUUCUGCUCUUAAGAUCAGAAUAAUCCAGUUCAUCCUAAAAUGCUUUUUCUUUGUGG
rnacentral:lncRNA from 10 species